rnacentral:rRNA from 1 species
ACUCGCCUACGGGACGCAGCAGUAGGGAAUAUUGCUCAAUGGGGGAAACCCCGAAGCAGCAACGCCGCGUGGAGGAUGAAGGUUUUCGGAUUGUAAACUCCUUUUGUGAGAGAAGAUAAUGACGGUAUCUCACGAAUAAGCACCGGCUAACUCCGUGCCAGCAGCCGCGGUAAUACAGAGGGUGCAAGCGUUACUCGGAAUCACUGGGCGUAAAGAGUGCGCAGGCGGGCUUGUAAGUCAGAUGUGAAAUCCUGUAGCUUAACUACAGAACUGCAUUUGAAACUAUGAGUCUAGAGUGUGGGAGA